AGAGUUUGAUCCUGGCUCAGGAUGAACGCUAGCUACAGGCUUAACACAUGCAAGUCGAGGGGCAGCAGGACGGUAGCUUGCUACUGUCGCUGGCGACCGGCGCACGGGUGAGUAACGCGUAUCCAACCUUCCCCUGAGUAGGGAAUAGCCCGGCGAAAGUCGGAUUAAUGCCCUAUGCUGUCCGACGAUAGCAUUUGAAUCGGAUGAAAGAUUUAUCGCUCAGGGAUGGGGAUGCGUCUGAUUAGGUUGCAGGCGGGGUAACGGCCCACCUGGCCGACGAUCAGUAGGGGUUCUGAGAGGAAGGUCCCCCACAUUGGAACUGAGACACGGUCCAAACUCCUACGGGAGGCAGCAGUGAGGAAUAUUGGUCAAUGGGCGAGAGCCUGAACCAGCCAAGUAGCGUGCAGGAAGACGGCCCUAUGGGUUGUAAACUGCUUUUGGAGGGGAAUAAAGUGGCGUACGUGUACGCCUUUGUAUGUACCCUCAGAAUAAGGACCGGCUAAUUCCGUGCCAGCAGCCGCGGUAAUACGGAAGGUCCGGGCGUUAUCCGGAUUUAUUGGGUUUAAAGGGAGCGCAGGCCGCCGAUUAAGCGUGACGUGAAAUGUCCCGGCUCAACCGGGGAGUUGCGUCGCGAACUGGUUGGCUUGAGUGCGGACGAGGUAUGCGGAAUUCGUGGUGUAGCGGUGAAAUGCUUAGAUAUCACGAAGAACCCCGAUUGCGAAGGCAGCGUACCAGGCCGUAACUGACGCUAAUGCCCGAAGGUGCGGGUAUCGAACAGGAUUAGAUACCCUGGUAGUCCGCACGGUAAACGAUGGAUGCCCCCUGUUUGCGAUA
rnacentral:rRNA from 1 species